GUCCAGGGGUGGGAAUCGAACCCACAACCUUCUGCUUACCGGGCAGGUGCCAUGUCCACUAGGCUACCCUGGA